rfam:Triticum aestivum genome assembly, contig: Triticum_aestivum_CS42_TGACv1_scaffold_570040_7AS
CAUGUACUCCCUCCGUUCCGAAUUACUUGUCAGCGGGUAUGGAUGUAUCUAAAUGUAUCUUAGUUCUAGAUACAUCCAUUUCUGCGACGAGUAAUUUGGAAUGGAGGGAGUAACUC